rnacentral:misc_RNA from 1 species
GAAAUGCGAUAAGUAAUGUGAAUUGCAGAAUUCAGUGAAUCAUCGAUCUUUGAACGCACCUUGCGCUCCUUGGUAUUCCUUGGAGCAUGCCUGUUUGAGUAUCAUGAAAUCUUCAAAGUAAAUCUUUUGUUAACUCAAUUGGUUUCUACUUUGGUAUUGGAGGUCUUUGCAGCUUCACACCUGCUCCUCUUUGUUCAUUAGCUGGAUCUCAGUGUUAUGCUUGGUUCCACUCGGCGUGAUAAGUUAUCUAUCGCUGAGGACACUGUAAAAGGUGGCCAAGGUAAAUGCAGAUGAACCGCUUCUAAUAGUCCAUUGACUUGGACAAUACUUUUAUGAUCUGAUCUCAAAUCAGGUAGGACUACCCGCUGAACUUAAGC